AUUGAACGCUGGCGGCAUGCCUUACACAUGCAAGUCGAACGGCAGCACGGGAGCUUGCUCCUGGUGGCGAGUGGCGAACGGGUGAGUAAAGCAUCGGAACGUAUCCGGAAGUGGGGGAUAACGUAGCGAAAGUUACGCUAAUACCGCAUAUUCUGUGAGCAGGAAAGAGGGGGAUCGCAAGACCUCUCGCUUUCGGAGCGGCCGAUGUCGGAUUAGCUAGUUGGUGGGGUAAAGGCUCACCAAGGCAACGAUCCGUAGCGGGUCUGAGAGGAUGAUCCGCCACACUGGAACUGAGACACGGUCCAGACUCCUACGGGAGGCAGCAGUGGGGAAUUUUGGACAAUGGGCGCAAGCCUGAUCCAGCCAUGCCGCGUGAGUGAAGAAGGCC
rnacentral:rRNA from 1 species